rnacentral:rRNA from 1 species
GACGAACGCUGGCGGCGUGCUUAACACAUGCAAGUCGAACGGAAAGGCCCUGCUUUUGUGGGGUGCUCGAGUGGCGAACGGGUGAGUAACACGUGAGUAACCUGCCCUUGACUUUGGGAUAACUUCAGGAAACUGGGGCUAAUACCGGAUAGGAGCUCCUGCUGCAUGGUGGGGGUUGGAAAGUUUCGGCGGUUGGGGAUGGACGCGCGGCUUAUCAGCUUGUUGGUGGGGUAGUGGCUUACCAAGGCUUUGACGGGUAGCCGGCCUGGGAGGGUGACCGGCCACAUUGGGCCUGCGAUACGGCCCAGACUCCUACGUGAGGCAGCAGUGGGGAAUAUUGCACAAUGGGCGGAAGCCUGAUGCAGCAACGCCGCGUGCGGGAUGACGGCCUUCGGGUUGUAAACCGCUUUCGCCUGUGACGAAGCGUGAGUGACGGUAAUGGGUAAAGAAGCACCGGCUAACUACGUG